GUAAUUGCGUAAACUACACGCGCAUUCAUUGUAUGCGAUUUGUUCUUCGCCGUCGCCGCCGUCUUGGUACCCUCUUCGCGAACGCAAGAGAAACGACUACGAAAUCAAAUCAGAGAGGACAACCUCUGUCAAGCAUUACUUCCAAGCUCUCCCCCCUCCCCUCCCCUCCCCUUUGUUGACUGACUUGAGGGAGCUAAUUACAAUUCUGCGUACGAAUACGAAUUUGAUGAAUUUGAUUGGAUCCUCUUUUAUGUAGGAUGUUCUUGCCUCUUUUGGUUAUUGCUGAAAUUCUACAGGUUUUAGUGGAGUUUUAGCCUCUUUGGUAUGUUAUGGAGUUUAGCCUUCUUCUUGAUUGUGCGAAGAGCUAAGCAGGCUUUGUACCAAAAACAGGGUCUGUUUCUUAUCUCACUGAUCCAUCAAAGGUGGAGGAGGCUUCUGCUGAAGGUAACGCACAGCUGGAGGUUGUAGAGAGGUUGCUCAAGGUUUACUUGGCAUGCCCUCCCAAGACCAAAAACAUCAUGGAACUCAAGGUUCAGUUGUAGAUACCUUUAUUAAGUGGAGAGAGCACACUAUCAAAGAAUAAUAAUGGCUUAGAGCAGAGAUAAAGAGCAAAGAACGCAAAGAGUCUUUUGUUAAUUUUUCUUAAUAAUAAAC